rnacentral:rRNA from 1 species
CAGCAGUGGGGAAUAUUGCACAAUGGGGGAAACCCUGAUGCAGCGACGCCGCGUGGAGGAAGAAGGUCUUCGGAUUGUAAACUCCUGUUGUUGAGGAAGAUAAUGACGGUACUCAACAAGGAAGUGACGGCUAACUACGUGCCAGCAGCCGCGGUAAAACGUAGGUCACAAGCGUUGUCCGGAAUUACUGGGUGUAAAGGGAGCGCAGGCGGGAGAACAAGUUGGAAGUGAAAUCCAUGGGCUCAACCCAUGAACUGCUUUCAAAACUGUUUUUUCUUGAGUAGUGCAGAGGUAGGCGGAAUUCCCGGUGUAGCGGUGGAAUGCGUAGAUAUCGGGAGGAACACCAGUGGCGAAGGCGGCCUACUGGGCACCAACUGACGCUGAGGCUCGAAAGUGUGGGUAGCAAACAGGAUUAGAUACCCUGGUAGUCCACACCGUAAACGAUGAUUACUAGGUGUUGGAGGAUUGACCCCUUCAGUGCCGCAGUUAACACAAUAAGUAAUCCACCUGGGGAGUACGACCGCAAGGUUGAAACUCAAAGGAAUUGACGGGGGCCCGCACAAGCAGUGGAGUAUGUGGUUUAAUUCGACGCAACGCGAAGAACCUUACCAAGUCUUGACAUCCCUUGACGAACAUAGAAAUAUGUUUUCUCUUCGGAGCAAGGAGACAGGUGGUGCAUGGUUGUCGUCAGCUCGUGUCGUGAGAUGUUGGGUUAAGUCCCGCAACGAGCGCAACCCUUAUCCUUAGUAGCCAGCAGUAAGAUGGGCACUCUAGGGAGACUGCCAGGGAUAACCUGGAGGAAGGUGGGGAUGACGUCAAAUCAUCAUGCCCCUUAUGAUUUGGGCUACACACGUGCUACAAUGGCGUAAACAAAGGGAAGCAAGAGGGUGACCUGGAGCAAAUCCCAAAAAUAA